rnacentral:lncRNA from 1 species
GUCGCGCCACACACACGCAGAGUAGGUGAAGGGCACCCUAAGACAACUUAUUUCUUUCCCGCCUCACAGAAAGCCUUUACGAAAUCCUCACACCAUCUCCGGACGCAAAGCUUUCGCAUUCAGCUUGAGGAGCUAAACCAUUUCAAGCCAAGACCUCUCUCCUUGAAGACAAAGUGUUGAUAUCAACUCCACCUUCAAGUCUCUCAAGCAGAACUAGAUGCUGUUUCUUCAAUGUUUCCACAUCUUCUUGUUCACAUGUGUCUAAGAUGCUUCAAGGGAAAUCUGUCUCCCCAGACACUUGCGUACUACAUUGUAAGCCAUUUUUACUAUGAAGAAGAUUGUAAGCUCAAUUACGGGCUUUACUGCGCUGAUAACGAACACAGAUAUGAGACAAGCAGACUUGAGCUCCUGCCUCGAGGAUGGUGAGCAAAGAGCCUAAGCAAAACUGAGAGGAAAUGAAACACAAAGAGGAAACAGAAAGGGUCUCUCUUUGUCACGCAGGUUGGAGUGCAGUGGUAUGAUCACUGACUGCAGGCUUGAUCUCCUGGGCUCAAAUGAUUCUCCCACCUCAGCCUCCUGAGUAGCCAGGACUUCAGGCAUGCAUCACCACAUCUGGCUAAUUUUUGUAUUUUUUGUAGAGAUGGGAUUUUGCCAUGUUGUCCGGGCUGGUCUUGAACUGCUGAGCUCAAGCAAUCUGCUUGCCUCGGCCUCCUAAAGUGCUGGGAUUACAGGCAUGAGCCACCAGGCCCAGUC